rnacentral:rRNA from 1 species
CCUACGGGAGGCAGCAGUGGGGAAUAUUGCGCAAUGGGCGAAAGCCUGACGCAGCGACGCCGCGUGAGGGAUGAAGGUCUUCGGAUCGUAAAGCUCUGUCAGCAGGGAAGAACGGUCACUGUGCUAAUCAGCAGUGACUUGACGGUACCUGCAAAGGAGGCACCGGCUAACUCCGUGCCAGCAGCCGCGGUAAUACGUAGGGUGCGAGCGUUAGUCGGAAUUACUGGGCGUACAGCGCUCGUAGGCGGUAUGUCAAGUCAAGGGUGAACUCCCCGGGCUCAACGUGGGAACUGCCUUUGAAACUGGCAAACUGGAGUGCGGGAGAGGAUAGUGGAAUUCCUGGUGUAGGAGUGAAAUGCGUAGAUAUUAGGAGGAACAUCAGUGGCGAAGGCGACUAUCUGGCACAUAACUGACGCUGAGGAGCGAAAGCGUGGGGAGCAAACAGGAUUAGAUACCCGGGUAGUC